CGUGAGUAACCUGCCCUUGACUCUGGGAUAAGCCUGGGAAACUGGGUCUAAUACUGGAUACGACGGCGCAUCGCAUGGUGUGUUGUGGAAAGGGUUUUACUGGUUUUGGAUGGGCUCACGGCCUAUCAGCUUGUUGGUGGGGUAAUGGCUCACCAAGGCGACGACGGGUAGCCGGCCUGAGAGGGUGACCGGCCACACUGGGACUGAGACACGGCCCAGACUCCUACGGGAGGCAGCAGUGGGGAAUAUUGCACAAUGGGCGGAAGCCUGAUGCAGCGACGCCGCGUGAGGGAUGACGGCCUUCGGGUUGUAAACCUCUUUCAGCACGGAAGAAGCGAGAGUGACGGUACGUGCAGAAGAAGCGCCGGCUAACUACGUGCCAGCAGCCGCGGUAAUACGUAGGGCGCAAGCGUUGUCCGGAAUUAUUGGGCGUAAAGAGCUCGUAGGCGGUUUGUCGCGUMUGSUGUGAAAGCCCGGGGCUUAACC
rnacentral:rRNA from 1 species